rnacentral:rRNA from 1 species
UAGGGAGCAAGCGUUAUCCGGAUCUAUUGGGUGUAAAGGGUGCGUAGACGGGAAGGCAAGUUAGUUGUGAAAUCCCUCGGCUUAACUGAGGAACUGCAACUAAAACUAUCUUUCUUGAGUGUUGGAGAGGAAAGUGGAAUUCCUAGUGUAGCGGUGAAAUGCGUAGAUAUUAGGAGGAACACCGGUGGCGAAGGCGACUUUCUGGACAACAACUGACGUUGAGGCACGAAAGUGUGGGGAGC